rnacentral:rRNA from 1 species
GACGAACGCUGGCGGCGUGCUUAACACAUGCAAGUCGAACGAAGUGGCGAACGGGUGAGUAACGCGUAAUCAACCUGCCCUUCAGAGGGGGACAACAGUUGGAAACGACUGCUAAUACCGCAUACUGAAGGAGGGGAUUGCGUCUGAUUAGCUAGUUGGCGGGGUACCGGCCUACGAAGGCGAUGAUCAGUAGCCGGUCUGGUAGGAGGAACGGCCACAAUGGGACGGAGACACGGCCCCGACUCCUACGGGAUGCAGCAGUGGGGAAUCUUCCGCAAGGGACGAAAGUCUGACGGAGCAACGCCGCGUGAGUGAUGACGGCCUUCGGGUUGUAAAGCUCUGUUAAUCGGGACGCGGUACCGGAAUAGAAAGCCACGGCUAACUACGUGCCAGCAGCCGCGGUAAUAC